rnacentral:rRNA from 1 species
UAAUACAGAGGUCCCAAGCGUUGUUCGGAUUCACUGGGCGUAAAGGGUGCGUAGGUGGCGGGGUAAGUCGGAUGUGAAAUCUCCGAGCUCAACUCGGAAAUGGCAUUGGAAACUACCUUGCUCGAGGGUUGGAGGGGGGACUGGAAUGCUUGGUGUAGCAGUGAAAUGCGUAGAUAUCAAGCGGAACACCAGUGGCGAAGGCGAGUCCCUGGACAACUCCUGACACUGAGGCACGAAAGCUAGGGGAGCAAACAGGAUUAGAUACCCUGGUAGUCCUAGCCGUAAACGGUGCACGUUUGCUGUAAGAGGAAUCGACCCCUCUUGUGGCGUAGCCAACGCGUUAAACGUGCCGCCUGGGAAGUACGGUCGCAAGAUU